CCCGAGGGCUGCUUGCAGAGUCUCUACGGAAGCUGCGGAACGCGGGUCUCGGCCGCGGGAACUGACUGGGCGUUUCCGUUCCCGGCGUCUCGCCGCAGGAGCUAUAUAUUGAAGACAGUGUCUGGAAGCCUCUACUUUGCCAUUGUUCAUCACCAUGAUAAUCCAAUUCUUGGAAUGGAGUUUUUGCCAGCUGGAAAAGCAGAAUCCAAAGACGAUCACUGCCAUCUGAACCAGUUCAUAGCUCACGCGGCUCUCGACCUCGUAGAUGAGAACAUGUGGCUGUCAAACAACAUGUACUUGAAGACGGUGGGCAAGUUCAAUGAGUGGUUCGUUUCAGCAUUCGUCACUGCGGG